CGAACGGGUGAGUAAUACAUCGGAACGUAUCCAGUAGCGGGGGAUAACCUCUCGAAAGAGAGGCUAAUACCGCAUACGACCUACGGGUGAAAGAGGGGGAUCGCAAGACCUCUCACUAUUGGAGCGGCCGAUGUCGGAUUAGCUAGUUGGCGGGGUAACGGCCCACCAAGGCAACGACGGGUAGCUGGUCUGAGAGGACGAUCAGCCACACUGGAACUGAGACACGGUCCAG
rnacentral:rRNA from 1 species